rnacentral:rRNA from 1 species
AACGAACGCUGGCGGCAGGCUUAACACAUGCAAGUCGAGCGGGCCCUUCGGGGUCAGCGGCGAACGGGUGAGUAACGCGUGGGAACGUGCCCUUUUCUCUGGAAUAGCCUCGGGAAACUGAGAUUAAUGCCGGAUACGCCCUUUUGGGGGAAGAUUUAUCGGGGAAGGAUCGGGCCGCGUUGGAUUAGGUAGUUGGGGGGGUAACGGCCUACCAAGCCGACGAUCCAUAGCUGGUUUGAGAGGAUGAUCAGCCACACUGGGACUGAGACACGGCCCAGACUCCUACGGGAGGCAGCAGUGGGGAAUCUUGGACAAUGGGGGCAACCCUGAUCCAGCCAUGCCGCGUGAGCGAUGAAGGCCUUAGGGUUGUAAAGCUCUUUCAGCGGGGAAGAUAAUGACGGUACCCGCAGAAGAAGCCCCGGCUAACUCCGUGCCAGCCGCCGCCGUAA